rnacentral:rRNA from 1 species
AACUUUGCAGUCUGAGUAAACUUAAUUAAUAAAUUAGAAAACUUUUAACAACGGAUCUCUUGGUUCUGGCAUCGAUGAAGAACGCAGCGAAAUGCGAUAAGUAAUGUGAAUUGCAGAAUUCAGUGAAUCAUCGAAUCUUUGAACGCACAUUGCGCCCCCUGGUAUUCCGGGGGGCAUGCCUGUUCGAGCGUCAUU